GUAGGUGAACCUGCGGAAGGAUCAUUACCGAAGUAUAGGCCCUCUUAUAGGGCUAAACUUCCACCCUUUGUUUACUAUUCUUCGUUGCUUUGGCGAGACGUCUUCGGACCACCGGCUCUCGGGCUGGUGAGCGCUCGCCAGAGGAAAAACAAACCCAAACCUUUUUUUAGUGUUGUCUGAGAAACAAGUUUAAUUAUUAAAACUUUCAACAACGGAUCUCUUGGCUCUG
rnacentral:misc_RNA from 1 species